rnacentral:rRNA from 1 species
GAUGAACGCUGGCGGCGUGCCUAAUACAUGCAAGUCGAGCGAAUGGAUUAAGAGCUUGCUCUUAUGAAGUUAGCGGCGGACGGGUGAGUAACACGUGGGUAACCUGCCCAUAAGACUGGGAUAACCCCGGGAAACCGGGGCUAAUACCGGCUAACAUUUUGAACCGCGUGGGUCGAAAUUGAAAGGCCGCUUCGGCUGUCACUUAUGGAUGGACCCGCGUCACAUUAGCUAGUUGGGGAGGUAACGGCUCACCAAGGCAACGAUGCGUAGCCGACCUGAGAGGGUGAUCGGCCACACUGGGACUGAGACACGGCCCAGACUCCUACGGGAGGCAGCAGUAGGGAAUCUUCCGCAAUGGACGAAAGUCUGACGGAGCAACGCCGCGUGAGUGAUGAAGGCUUUCGGGUCGUAAAACUCUGUUGUUAGGGAAGAACAAGUGCUAGUUGAAUAAGCUGGCACCUUGACGGUACCUAACCAGAAAGCCACGGCUAACUACGUGCCAGCCGCCGCAGUAA